rnacentral:rRNA from 1 species
AUUGAACGCUGGCGGCAGGCCUAACACAUGCAAGUCGAGCGCGCGGCGGACGGGCGAGUAAUGUAUGGGGAUCUGCCUGACAUAGGGGGCUAACUACUGGAACCCGUGGCUAAUACUGCAUACUACCCGAUCAACCCUCAUGGGAUUAGCUAGUAGGUGGGGUAAAGGCUCACCUAGGCGACGAUCUCUAGCUGGUCUGAGAGGAUGAUCAGCCACACUGGGACUGAGACACGGCCCAGACUCCUACGGGAGGCAGCAGUGGGGAAUAUUGCACAAUGGGCGCAAGCCUGAUGCAGCCAUGCCGCGUGUAUGAAGAAGGCCUUAGGGUUGUAAAGUACUUUCAGCGGAGAGGCGUUACCCGCAGAAGAAGCACCGGCUAACUCCGUGCCAGCAGCCGCGGUAAUAC